GAUGAACGCUGACAGCAUGCUUAACACAUGCAAGUCAACUGUGGCGCACGGGUGAGUACCGCGUAAAGAACUUGCCUCCCAGCUAGGGCUACCUAUUGGACACGAAUGAUAAUACCUGAUCCUGUGAGAGAGUUUUGCGUCCAAUUAGAUAGUUGGAGAGGUAACGGCUCACCAAGGCGAGGAUGGGUAGCCGGCCUGAGAGGGUGAUCGGCCACAAGGGGACUGGGACACGGGCCGUACUCAGACGGGCGGCAGCAGUGGGGGAUAAUGGACAAUGGACCAAAGACUGAUGCAGCAAUUCUGUGUGCAAGAUGAAGUUUUCGGGAAGAAAAGUGCGUUAAGUUAGGGAGCGGUACCAACUCAGGAAGUGACGGCUAAAUACGUGCCAGCAGCCGCGGUAAUUC
rnacentral:rRNA from 1 species